rnacentral:rRNA from 1 species
CACUCUAGAGAGACUGCCAGGGAUAACCUGGAGGAAGGUGGGGAUGACGUCAAAUCAUCAUGCCCCUUAUGCUUAGGGCUACACACGUGCUACAAUGGGUAGUACAGAGGGUUGCCAAGCCGUAAGGUGGAGCUAAUCCCUUAAAGCUACUCUUAGUUCGGAUUGUAGGCUGAAACUCGCCUACAUGAAGCUGGAGUUACUAGUAAUCGCAGAUCAGAAUGCUGCGGUGAAUGCGUUCCCGGGUCUUGUACACACCGCCCGUCACACCACGGGAGUUGGAGACGCCCGAAGCCGAUUAUCUAACCGUUUGGAAGAAGUCGUCGAAGGUGGAAUCAAUAACUGGGGUGAAGUCGUAACAAGGUAGCCGUAUCGGAAGGUGCGGCUGGAUCACCUCCUUUCUAAGGAGA